CUAUAUACAAGUUGCAGUGGCAUAAAAAAACAAACAACUAGUCCUAACUGGAGAGGUAACAGUUGCUUGUUCACUGGGUUGGCCAAACUGCAAAAUGAACAAAAGUGGAGUCAGAAAGCAAAACAGUAUGAUAGAAUUUGAGAAACCUCAAGAAAAUCAGUAUCUAGCUCUAAAAUGGUAGAGUACAAACUGUGACAAAGGAGAGUACCAAGAAAUAAGGCUAUAGAGGUAGGUAGUAGCUACCUAUCUUGACCACAGAGCAGUGUAGGCAUUAGGAAACCAGGUUCAUAGUUUAGACAGAUCUGUCUGGCAACAAUGUAAAAUGGAUUAGGGGGAGGGGAUGAGAAAGAUGGUUGUCAGAGAGACCAGUAUAGGUGACGGGUUAUGAAAACUUAAAUUAAGGCAAUAGUGCAAUGGAGAUAGAAGGGCAGGAAUGUUAGAUGUAGUAAGCAGAUGACAGAACUGAUAGCACUCAAUCAUCAUCAACUUGAGUGAUGGGCAGGGAUUGGGCACAGGCGCCAGAUGAAGGAAAAAGCAGAGUGGAGAAUAAAUUCUGGGUUCAAGUGACAGGUGAAUGGUGGUGUUACUCACUGAGAAGAGGAACCGGUUCAGGGAGGGAAGGAAAGUGUGUUCUGGUUUUGAAUGUGUAGAGUCUGUGAUGCAUUUGAAAUAGCCAGUUCUAAUAUACAUGGGAAUAUAAUCUGGAGCCCAGAGGAGAUAAAUGUCUGGGUAAAGGAGAUAAAUGUCUAGGUGAAAGGUAUGGCAGUAACAGAAAAAACAGGAGUGGAUAAGAUCACUCAGAUAAAGUACUGAAUAAAAAGAAACAAACACAAAACCAGUAACAAAAGGCUUCUGGGGAUACCAAUAAUUAAGUGGCAGAGAAGUCCACAGAAGACAGAGACUGAGCAGUCAUAAAGGCAGAAGCAGAACCUAGAGAAUGAUGUCAUGGAAACCAAGGUAGUGCACAGUUUUCAGAAGGACAGGGUGAGUAAAUGGAGCCAUGAAGUGACUGGUUUUUCACAAAUCAACUGGCUGGUAAAACUUUCACAAUGCCAAAUAUAAGGUUUGGGGGUACACGUACUUACAACUGUAUUAAUUGAGACCCACGAGGCAAGAGAAGCACCUAGAAGAACAGAAUUACAAGGAAGAGAAUGGGGUUAGAAAUUUGUAGAAGACCGAGAAAGGUCUAAUGUAUAACAAUUUUUAAAACUUCAUGUGGAAAAAUUAUUCAUUUCACCAGUGACAUUAGGAUCUACUUAUGACCUCUGAAUCAGUCUUUGAUAAGGAUUACAGAGUAAAUGCCAAAAGAAACAAUAUGAUCCAAUCUUGUGUGGACCCAAAGUGCUGUUUGUUGAUUUGUUAUCAAGGAGCCUGCUCUUCCUAAUCUAUGCACUCCCUUGAAGAACUCAAGUCAUCUCCAUGUGCUCUGACACAAACUCUGCCCUCUACAUCUAUCCCCUCUCCUCAAAUUUCUCUGGUAUGUACAUUUCCAU
rnacentral:lncRNA from 1 species